rnacentral:rRNA from 1 species
UACGGAGGGGGCUAGCGUUGUUCGGAAUUACUGGGCGUAAAGCGCACGUAGGCGGCUGUUCAAGUCAGAGGUGAAAGCCCGGAGCUCAACUCCGGAAUUGCCUUUGAAACUAGAUAGCUUGAAUCCAGGAGAGGUGAGUGGAAUUCCGAGUGUAGAGGUGAAAUUCGUAGAUAUUCGGAAGAACACCAGUGGCGAAGGCGGCUCACUGGACUGGUAUUGACGCUGAGGUGCGAAAGCGUGGGGAGCAAACAGG